AGUGAACGCUGGCGGUAGGCCUAACACAUGCAAGUCGAACGGCCACACAAUAAGAGUUUGCCCUUACCGAUGGCGAGUGGCGGACGGGUGACGCAUACAUCACCAUCUUCUUUUUCGGGGAGGACAACGUAAGGACGCUUAUAAUAAUACCUCAUAUGUUCUACCGCAUGGAGCAAGAGAGCUUGGCGCCUUUCCCGUCUCUAAUAGCCGAUGUCGCAUUAGCUAGUUGGCUUGGUAAAGGCACACCAAGGCGACGAUGCGUAGCCGGCCUGAGAGGAUGAUCAGCCACACUGGAACUGAGACACGGUCCAGACUCCUACGGGAGGCAGCAGUAGGGAAUCUUGGGCAAUGGGCGAAAGCCUGACGCAGCCAUACCGCGUGAGUGAAGAAGGCCUUCGGGUUGUAAAGCCCUGUUGUUAGGAAAGAAAAACAGCAUGAUAAAACCCGGCCGUUUUGACGGUACCCAAAGAGAAAGCACCGGCUAACUUCGUG
rnacentral:rRNA from 1 species